rnacentral:rRNA from 1 species
GUCCCAGUUCGGAUUGCAGGCUGCAACCCGCCUGCAUGAAGUUGGAAUCGCUAGUAAUCGCGGAUCAGCAUGCCGCGGUGAAUACGUUCCCGGGCCUUGUACACACCGCCCGUCACACCAUGAGAGUCGGGAACACCCGAAGUCCGUAGUCUGACCGCAAGGGGGACGCGGCCGAAGGUGGGUUCGAUAAUUGGGGUGAAGUCGUAACAAGGUAUC